CACGUAGGGCGCGAGCGUUGUCCGGAAUUAUUGGGCGUAAAGAGCUCGUAGGCGGUCUGUCGCGUCGGCUGUGAAAACUCGGGGCUCAACCCCGAGCCUGCAGCCGAUACGGGCAGACUAGAGUUCGGCAGGGGAGACUGGAAUUCCUGGUGUAGCGGUGAAAUGCGCAGAUAUCAGGAGGAACACCGAUGGCGAAGGCAGGUCUCUGGGCCGAUACUGACGCUGAGGAGCGAAAGCGUGGGGGAGCGAACAGG
rnacentral:rRNA from 1 species